rnacentral:siRNA from 1 species
GUAAUCUUCACGUCGGGACCCUGC